CGAGCGGCGACCUCACUUCCGAAACCCAUCAGAGAUGGGCCAGCAGAAACAAAAAGGCGCUGCCGCCGGUUCACUUCCGAUUGCACUGCCAGCGCUGCCACCGCUGAAAAAUUACUAAAUCCAUGACAUGGGCUGCAACUGCAGGACUCGUUGGAGAAGAAUGAAAUUCGUACAUUUUACGUAAUCUUUCAUAGAUUAAAAAAAUAUUUGUAUGUUAGACGU
rnacentral:misc_RNA from 1 species